rnacentral:rRNA from 1 species
UACGUAGGGUGCGAGCGUUAAUCGGAAUUACUGGGCGUAAAGCGUGCGCAGGCGGUUUUGUAAGCCAGAUGUGAAAUCCCCGGGCUUAACCUGGGAAUGGCAUUUGGGACUGCAAGGCUGGAGUGUGGCAGAGGAGACUGGAAUUCCUGGUGUAGCAGUGAAAUGCGUAGAUAUCAGGAGGAAUACCGAUGGCGAAGGCGGCUCACUGGCCCGGUACUGACGCUGAGGCACGAAAGCGUGGGGAGCAAACAGG